GGCGGCUUAGCUCAGUCGGUAGAGCAAGGGACUCAUAAGCCCUGUGUCACUGGUUCGAGUCCAGUAGCCGCUACCA
rnacentral:tRNA from 1 species